rnacentral:misc_RNA from 1 species
UAAUAAAAAUAAAUCGUGGUUGUUACCACUUUUCGUGGUGACGCUUCGGAAUUGAGUCGUCUUACCUUCGGUUAAGUGACUUAAAAUUUUUUCAUACGAUUUCGAAACGUAUUUAAUGUAUUAUGUACGUUCACGAAUAUCGAAUGUUUAUUAGGUGCGGUCAUUUUCAUGAAUCGUGUCUAUACUUUUU